CAGGCUGAGAAGAUCCAAACAAGCCACCUCUACUAAAUCACAUGGGCAAGAUAGAGGCUCCCCUACUUUGCCAUCAAGUGAACAAGAUGCACCAUCCCUCUUCACUCCAAAAAGAGAUCAUUCCACACCCUUCCAAUCUCCUGCCAGAAAGAGAGCCACACCGCUCAAGUCUUCGGUGUCAGAUCAAUCCACACCCUUCAUAUCAUCCAUGGCAGUAAAGGCAGCAUCCCUUCCCCCUUCCCCAGGUUCUAGAAAAAAUGCCUUAACUGGCUCAAAACAUGAGGAGGGCGUGUCCCUGGAGGAGGAACUGCAGGCAAAGGAAGAAGCACAGGAACCAUGGAGAAAUCGCCUGGAUAGUGAUGUAAUGGAAUCCAGCGAAUCAAGAGCAUCCUCUGGCAGUGAUGUUGUCAUCAUACCACAACCUCGUCAGUCUAUUUCAAAGGUACAGGUAAUACAGGCUGGGCAUGAAAGCA
rnacentral:lncRNA from 1 species